GCUUGCGUGGUCUAGUGGUAUGACGUAUCCUUCACACGGAUAAGGCCCCGGGUUCGAGACCCGGCGCGAGUA